CCCACAGUGGUUUUUAUGACUUGGCAAAUUUCUGAGUCAAAGGAUUGAUGGAGCUCUGGAUCUUCAGAUUUUGACUCGGUGGACUGCUCCUCUUUAAGUUCAUGCAAAUUUAUGUGCUCCCAAUUCCAGUGCAGCAUAGCACAGUAGAGGUGGGCAGCAAAAUCGCAUCUUGAGCAAUAGUAAAGCCAGUGUGUAUCCACUUUUCGAACACAGAGUCGACAAAUUGGAGAGUCGGAUUGAUGGACUUCAAGAGAAGGGGUGAGGUGGAGAGGGUGGUUGUGACGAUAAACUUUCAGUCUGCGUGGGCAAGCAGCACAACGUGAAUGUAUACCGAAAUCGCACUGGGCACAAAGGUAGGGCAGAUUGCCUUUUUUGCCACAGAAGUCGCAAGUGAACUUCAACCGCUUCCAAAUGCGGGUCAAUUGAUGGUCAUGGACUUCAGUUUGGAUGGUGAGUGAUAAAGAAGAACAAUUGAUGUGAAUGUUGAAGUUGCAACGGUAACAACAAUAACUGUAUUCAUUACUCUUUUCUCCGCAGACGUCGCAUUUGCUAAAUUUCUCAUAUU